rnacentral:lncRNA from 1 species
AUCUAACAGAAGGCUUAGAAUUGGGCUGGCACAAUCCUUCAUUUACAUGAAAAGUUGUCCUACUGAUUGGUGUAAACAAACACCCCCACCCAUACCCAACAGAAGGCCUAUGAUUGGUGCCGGCACAGUCCUUCAUUUGCAUGAAGAGCUGUGCUUACUGAUUGGUGCACACACCGACUGCCACCUCACCUCCUAUGGUGGUUAAUGUUGGUUAUCAGUUCUACCAGAGUCUAGAAUCAUCUGGGAGAAGGGCCUCUGGGUAUGCCUGCCUAUAGGGGAUUAUUUUAAAUUAAUUGAGGUGGUGGGAAGAUCAACCUAUUAUAGAAGGGGAAUCCUGGACUGUGAGAUAGAGCAACUGAGCUGAGACCAUCCUCAUCCCUUCUGCGUCAUGACUGCAGAUGCAGUGAGAACUCCCUCAGGCUGCAGCUCUUGUGACUUCCCUGGUAUGUUUGACCGUAGCUUGGAGUUGGGAGCCAGAACUUCUUAUCUUAAGUUGAUUAUGUCACCGCGUCAUCAUCACAGGACAUAAAAGUAACCAAGACAUCUUCCUUUCUGACUGUACAAACAUGUUGUUGGGUUUCUGUUCUGAAUCAGCCAGAAGACACCCUCUCAGACUGUCCCCUAGUGUCACACAACAUCAAGCCCAGUCAAGAGGCUUCUCUCCAGUGACAGCCUUGUCUUCAUUGGCGUGGUUGAACAAACAGAUAACAGGAAGAGGGGACAUCAGAAGCAGCCUGCAUCAGAGAGUGGACGUGGGUGAUGAGUCCUCCGGAAAUCAGAAGUCCAUGUGUGUCUUCCCACUUGACUGCCACUUGCUCCGAGGAAGUUGACAGGUACCAGGAGCUGAGAACCAUAACUGAGCAGGUGGGAAACACCUCUGGCCUGUCACCCGGCAGUGUCGGUCAUUUGAAACACUUCGGCUUAACUGUAAUGACAGGUGGGUCUUAUUUUAGUGUAGAAGAAGGUGGGGGGUUGGGGACAGCUUCUCCAAGACAUUGGUGCCUGAGCAGAAUUUGAAG